GCUGUAAGGGAAGUCAGGUUUGGAGUUGACUGAGUUUGGGUGAAGGGCUUAUAACUCUAAGACCCUGAUCGGGCUUCCCUUGCCGGCAAGUAAAAGACAAAAGCGCUGUGGUCUUGCUUUGUUCACAAGGAUCGGUCUCUGAGACAGCGAGGUCUGUGAGUUUAGACCUAACAUAAAUCAUAUUCUGGAGCUGUAUAACUAAGAGUCAGUUCAGCAGAGGACUAACAAACUCUUCACUCGGCCUGAUGGACGUCCUUUGGAUGAUUGUCCUCACUGUUGGUCUGCUUGGCUCACAUUGUGAGGGCGCUAUAUCCUGUAAAAAUGAAACUAAUGUUGAUGUAGACUGGUAAGACAACAUCUGAGCUAUUCAUUCAGGUGUGCUGAAUUACACAUUAGUAACUUUGGUCUUCAAGUGCUUCAAAGCUACGCUAUGGUACCUUUUGCACCUGCGUUUCAACAUAGUCAUAGAUGAUGUUCAGACACUGCUACACUAUUUUACACUGUUAUUAUCAGUUAUUUUAUAUAUUUCCAUUUCAUAAAUAACUUCAUUUGGGCAGUAAGACAUUACGCAUACCUAAAACUAUGAAGACAACACACAAUACUGUGACACUUGCCUCCUUUCUCCAGCCCUGCACAUCUAUUUUCAUCACUCGUAUUAUUCUCACUUUAUUGAUCAAAAGAGGAAACAGGGAAAGAAAACACUUUGCAAAAUUUCACAAGCUUCAUCUCAUUUUAGCAUCAUGGGGAAGCCAGUGGAAAAUACUAUUCAUAAAAGGCCCUGUUAUUCAUAGUUAAAGGUUUUCAGUCAUAUCUCUGCUUACUCUACAGGUGCUUGUGAGACUCGGGUAUAACAGAGUUUGUUAUUUUCUUCUUCCAUGCUCAGUUAAGCUUCUCAUCAUUUAUUGUUAUCUUUGAAUUUACUGACUUGUCUCUGACAUCACCAGGUUUAUUUUGUACAAGGUG